CUGAAGAUGGCGACCGGCGCACGGGUGAGUAACACGUAUCCAACCUACCGAUAACUCCGGAAUAGCCUUUCGAAAGAAAGAUUAAUACCGGAUGGCAUACGAAUAUCGCAUGAUAUUUUUAUUAAAGAAUUUCGGUUAUCGAUGGGGAUGCGUUCCAUUAGUUUGUUGGCGGGGUAACGGCCCACCAAGACUACGAUGGGUAGGGGUUCUGAGAGGAAGGUCCCCCACAUUGGAACUGAGACACGGUCCAAACUCCUACGGGAGGCAGCAUG
rnacentral:rRNA from 1 species